rnacentral:snoRNA from 1 species
GAGCAGUGAUGAUCUCAACAUGCCAUCUGAGUGACUGUGCUGAGAACCAGAGGCUGUUUCUGAGCUG